rnacentral:rRNA from 1 species
UACGUAGGGGGCAAGCGUUGUCCGGAUUCAUUGGGCGUAAAGAGCGUGUAGGCGGCCAGGUAGGUCGGUUGUGAAAACUGGAGGCUCAACCUUCAGAGGUCGACCGAAACCAUCUGGCUAGAGUCCGGGAGAGGAGAGUGGAAUUCCUGGUGUAGCGGUGAAAUGCGCAGAUAUCAGGAGGAACACCGGUGGCGAAGGCGGCAUCCUGGACCAACACUGACGCUGAGUGAGCGAAAGCCAGGGGAGCAAACGGG